rnacentral:tRNA from 1 species
GCGGGGAUGCCAGAGUGGUCAAAUGGGCGUCGUUAAGGCCGACGUAGCUUAGUGCUUACGGAGGUUCAAAUCCUCCUUCCCGCA